UAAGCCUCAAACCAACAAUAAAAAUGAUUAUUCUCAUUUUACAUCUUCAAGGUAAAAGGAGAGUGGUUAAUGAAUUAUAAAAGCAUAGUUAAGUGAUCUCUCGUCGCAGAAUUCGUAACGUGUUAUAUGUGAUUUAAAAGCGAAUACAACAUUCUUAAUUUUUCUUACUUCCCAAGACUUGGAGAGCACUUAAAGCAGAUAGUCCUGUGUUGUAGUGGAUUGCCGUCGCAUUAAACAAUGAGAGGCUGUUCUCUCAAUAAAUCGGCGGUUCAUAUCUGUGGAGCAGACUGCGGUAUCGACCCGCCCCGACGCGUCGCGACGUAGGUCUGGUGGAGUCGUCGCUCGCGCCGCCGCCGCUGUCGGUAUCUAUUGUAAAAGAAACGGACGAAAAGAGUAACUGCUGAGUUGCUUGACGACUCUUCUUCGAAGAAUCUACAUUCUGAACAGGCGGUAGUUUUACAUUUAAUUUAAUGAUAUGACAAUCAAAUGUUUUUAUAAAAUUAAUGAAGAAUAUGUACUUUGAUUUUAUGAUAUAAUAUUUUUUUUCUAUUUUAAUUUAACAAACACAAUUUGGAUUGAUACAGAUCUGUUUAUAGACUUGGAGCAUUUCAUAGCCAGGUCCGAUUAUAAAAAUAUCAAUCUACGAGCACAUAACGUUAUCAAAGUGAGCAGCGGUGGAAGACAUUUGCAUUCGGUGCUUGCUUACACUUGUUCUUUGCAUUUUUAUCCAAUCGCCGAGGCAGACGUGUUUUGAAACUAAACGAGGAGACGGAAUGAUUAAAGGCGAAGGAGAUAAAAAGUCUAUAGCUUCAGAAACGCUUUGUAUUGGUGUAUGAAAUUAUUAUUAGCUGAAUUACUUACACUUGGUAUGGUACUACCAUUGCCUGUGAUAUGAAAUUCGUCAAUUAUUUGUUACUAAAUUGAUUAAUUUUUUUA